UGCCUAACACAUGCAAGUCGAACGAGAAAACGGGGGCAACCCUGUAAGUAAAGUGGCAGACGGGUGAGUAACACGUGAACAACUUACACUUGAGUGUGGAAUAACCCCGCGAAAGCGGGGCUAAUACCGCAUAACAUCCCUUGGCCGCAUGACUGAGGGAUCAAGGGCGAAAGCCGCUUAAGGAGGGGUUCGCGCCUGAUUAGCUAGUUGGUGAGGUAGCGGCUCGCCAAGGCAACGAUCAGUAGCCGGCCUGAGAGGGCGAACGGCCACACUGGAACUGAGACACGGUCCAGACUCCUACGGGAGGCAGCAGUGGGGAAU
rnacentral:rRNA from 1 species